ACUUAAUUCUUUUUCCCUUUUAAUCUCAAAAUUCCAUGAGUUCCUUUGCCCUAACAUCUCGUAAUACCGUUCAAAUCCCUAAACCUUUUCUUUUUCUCUCCAUGAGGUUUACAAUUUAGUUUUUAAGCUUUGUGGGGUUCUGUUUGUUGUUGUUCUUUAUUCCAUUUUUGUGUGUGUUUUUGCAGGGAAUGGAAGAAAAUUACAGGAGGUUGAAGGAGAUAAACAAGAAGUUGAGAAGGGAGAUUUAAUGGAAAUUAUUUCCCUUUCCCAACUAUGAAUUUGUUAUUAUUUUGUUUCAUUUUAUUGGUUGAUUAGAAUGGGGGAGAUAAAGGACAACGACGCCUACGAGGAAGAGCUUCUCGACUACGAAGAAGAAGAUGAAAAAGCCCUUGACUCUGCCUCCAUUAAGGCUGCUGAUUCUGCUAAGAAGGGGUAUGUUGGAAUUCAUAGUUCGGGAUUCAGGGGCUUUCUGCUGAAACCAGAGCUGCUUCGAUCUAUUGUGGAUUCUAGUUUUGAACAUCCUUCCGAAGGAAAAGUUUUAAACUCAUGUCUGAUGUUAACAUUCGUGAAUUCCGUGAAUUAAGUCAUUUUUGUUUUUCUUGCUUUUAGUGACUUAUAAUGGUGGGCAGUAUACAAGUUUGGUGCUUUAUUAUUUUGAUUUACUGUUUUAGAUGAAGCAUUUGUUGUUACAGGAUAUGCUUUGUAGUAAUCUUUGAAAUACUUUGCCUUGAAAUUAUAUUUUUUCAACUUAAUUUAUCUAGGCAUGAAAGUCUUCAAAAUUAUCAUAGCUUUUCUUUUCUGUUGAUUCAAACUGUUCAUUUAAACUCUUUUUUUUGUUUAUAUAUAUAUAUAUAUAUAUAUACUGUUUUCAAUAAAAUUUUUAAUAAUUCAUUCAUUCUAAGUUAAUUGGACUUGCCUACGGCUGAACAUACAGUUUAUAUAUGAAUAUGCUUCAUCUGCAUUGCUUGAUUCACUUGAUCUGGUUUGGUUGUUCUUUGAUUCUGACUUGUUCAAGCUUGUAUUAUUCAGGUAAUCACGAUUCAGGUAAUCACUAUAAUGGACAAUUUUGAUGACUCUGAUAUCGAAUUGCAGUCACAGUUAUAAGAGUUCUCAUUCAUAGUCCUAAAAGCAAAGCAAAUGUUGAUACUAUUAUUGAAAGGUGUGCUGGUGCAGGGCAUUUACGAGAUGAUAUCCUAUAUUAUAGUAAGGAACCAGCUGAAUACUUGCUUAGUGACCUGCCAAGCUCUUAUGGCGAAGGUGCAACCAACAGCUCAAUGGGGGUAAAAAGAACUAUGGGUGAUAGUGGCAAUCGAAUCAGUACCGGCUGCAUUAAUGGGAUGCCAUUCGUUCUCACUGCGGUCGUUGAAUUCCAUGGUAUUUUCAUCCAUAAAAGGAGGAGGAGUUGGUGCAGGGAGUUCUUCAUCUUUCCUUUUUAGCAUCUCUAGUACCUUCCACAUUGAUGGUCUUAGUGAUCGACUCUCUUGUGUGCAAAGUAGUCCUAUAUGCACUACUCUCGAAACCUCAUUCUUCACACUCUUGUUGCUUCGGUUAUCGUCACUUAACAUUAAAUUUGGGUCAUAAAUCUCCUCCAUUGUCCCUAAUUGAAAGUGUUUCCAUGCCUGUUUCCACACAUGAAAACACGAAAAUAUCAAGGAACCUUUAGUUUUUUUUCUCACAAAGUGGUGCUUUGUGUAGGAAAAAAGUUUAUGUUUGAAGCUUACUAUGGCAACCACGCUGUAUGAGUAAUCUGUGUAUUGACCCUUGUUGUUUUGCGUCCCGGUAACAAUCUCUAGUAAAAGAACUCCAAAACUAUAAAUAUCCGCCUUCUCCGUUAACCGCCCAUUGGCUAAGUAUUCAGGAGCCAUAUAUCCCCUGUAGAUGGUCGAACAAAAGUUAUUUUUUGUGCUAAAUAAUAAAUCAUUCCUAGAACAAAUAGAAAGAAAAAAAAAACAAUGGUGAUGCUUUUGCUUACAAUGUUCCAGCAAUGGCAGUGCUAAUGUGACUCUGAUCUUCCUCAAAACUCCUCGCCAAGCCGAAGUCAGCGAUUUUGGCUCGGAACUUUAAAUCCAAUAGAAUAUUGCUGGCUUUUAUAUCUCUAUGAAUGAUUUUGUUCGUGGGGUUGCCAUGAAGAUGAACUAAACCUUCUACGGUCCCCAUGAUGAUUUUGAAUCUCUUUUCCCAGUUAAGUUCUUUACCUCUGCUGUGAUCUAUUUAUGUUUUGAAAGGGAGAAAUAACUUACAGUGACUUGGAUGAUGACACGUUAUCAAAAGUAUCCGACAUGAAUAAAAUUUACCGAAGAUGAAGUGAUCGAGACUCUUGUUAGGGAGGAACUCAUAAACGAGAAGACUUUCAGAAAUCUGCUGCUCGGUGUCGAUUGUUAAUGAAAAGUCUCUUGACAGCAAUCUCUCUUCCAUCAGACAGAGCUCCCUACAGGUGAUAGAUAAAUGAUUAACCAUAAAAUACCCGUUAAAUGUAGAAGCAAAGCACAUCAACUACCUUAUAAACGGUCCCGAAUCCUCCUUGCCCAAGCUUGUUUGCCUCGUCAAAUGAACCGGUAGCCUUCUCGAGGGUAGAGUACUUGAAAUUCAAGUUACUAUCACGAAGGACUUUCACCCACUUUUCUGCAUCAUUUGAACCUGGAAUUCAGAAAUAGUUUAGCAACAAAGACGAGGCUCACCACUAUUCCAGAUAGCAAUAUUGUAAUAAUUCAAUGGAGUUGAAUAAUUUAGAUAACAUUGGCUAACAUUCCUUUAUUCUUUUGAGGUGACUGCAUGAUCAAACUGAGCUAAACAUUUGAUUCAGUAAAUAAGCCUUUUACCUCUUUUCUUUUGUA